rnacentral:rRNA from 1 species
GAUGAACGCUAGCGGCGCGCCUAACACAUGCAAGUCGAACGAUUAAAGCACCUUCGGGUGUGUAUAAAGUGGCGAACGGCUGAGUAACACGUGGGCAACCUGCCCCUUUCAUUGGGAUAGCCACGGGAAACCGUGGAUAAUACCGAAUACUUCGAGACUUCCGCAUGGAAGACUCGAGAAAGCUCCGGCGGAGAGGGAUGGGCCCGCGGCCUGUUAGCUUGUUGGUGGGGUAACGGCCUACCAAGGCAAUGAUGGGUAGCUGGGUUGAGAGACCGACCAGCCAGAUUGGGACUGAGAUACGGCCCAGACUCCUACGGGAGGCAGCAGUGGGGAAUCUUGCACAAUGGGCGAAAGCCUGAUGCAGCGACGCCGCGUGCGGGAUGAAGGCCUUCGGGUUGUAAACCGCUUUCAGCAGGGACGAGGCGAAAGUGACGGUACCUGCAGAAGAAGCCCCGGCUAACUACGUGCCAGCAGCCGCGGUAAUACGUAGGGGGCAAGCGUUAUCCGGAUUCAUUGGGCGUAAAGCGCUCGUAGGCGGUCUGUUAGGUCGGGAGUUAAAUCCGGGGGCUCAACCCCCGCUCGCUCUCGAUACCGGCAGACUUGAGUUUGGUAGGGGAAGGUGGAAUUCCUAGUGUAGCGGUGGAAUGCGCAGAUAUUAGGAAGAACACCAGUGGCGAAGGCGGCCUUCUGGGCCAUAACUGACGCUGAGGAGCGAAAGCUAGGGGAGCAAACAGG